rnacentral:ribozyme from 1 species
AGUCGCAAGUUUAAGGCCAUAGCAAAAAGUGUUCACUGCGCAACCCUGUCAGAUUCCAGCAAAUCUGCAAAUUCUGCU